UGAGGAAUUUUCCGCAAUGGGCGAAAGCCUGACGGAGCAAUACCGCGUGAGGGAUGAAGGAUUUUGGUCUGUAAACCUCUUUUCUCAAGAAAGAAGUUCUGACGGUACUUGAGGAAUAAGCAUCGGCUAACUCCGUGCCAGCAGCCGCGGUAAUACGGGGGAUGCAAGCGUUAUCCGGAUUUAUUGGGCGUAAAGCGCCUGUAGGUUGUUUAAUAAGUCUGUUGUUAAAGACUAGGGCUUAACCCUAGGAAAGCAAUGGAAACUACUAGACUUGAGUAUGAUAGGGGUAGAGGGAAUUUCUAGUGUAGCGGUGAAAUGCGUAGAUAUUAGAAAGAACACCGGUGGCGAAGGCGCUCUACUGGAUCAUUACUGACACUCAGAGGCGAAAGCUAGGGUAGCAAAAGGGAUUAGAUACCCCUGUAGUCCUACCCGUAAACGAUGGAUACUACAUGUUGCGUUUUUAAUGCAGUAUGGUAGCUAACGCGUUA
rnacentral:rRNA from 1 species